rnacentral:rRNA from 2 species
UACAGAGGUCCCGAGCGUUGUUCGGAUUCAUUGGGCGUAAAGGGUGCGUAGGUGGCGCUGUAAGUGGGGUGUGAAAUCCCGGGGCUUAACUCCGGAACUGCAUUCCAUACUGCGGUGCUUGAGGACUGGAGAGGAGACUGGAAUUUACGGUGUAGCAGUGAAAUGCGUAGAGAUCGUAAGGAAGACCAGUGGCGAAGGCGGGUCUCUGGACAGUUCCUGACACUGAGGCACGAAGGCCAGGGGAGCAAACGGG